rnacentral:rRNA from 1 species
UGACCCGUUCCUAAGCACGGACCAAGGAGUUCAGCGUGUACGCGAGUCAUUGGGUGAUAAAACCCAAAGGCGUAAUGAAAGUGAAGGGAACUUUACGUUUCUGAGGGAGGAUGAGUCGGUUACCCGCAAGGGGCUGCUCCGCACUCCCGGGGCGUCUCUUUCUCAUUGCGAGUGGAGGCGCACCCAGAGCGUACACGCUGAUACCCGAAAGAUGGUGAACUAUGCCUGGCCAGGACGAAGCCAGGGGAAACCCUGGUGGAGGUCCGCAGCGAUUCUGACGUGCAAAUCGAUCGUCGGAGCUGGGUAUAGGGGCGAAAGACCAAUCGAACCAUCUAGUAGCUGGUUCCCUCCGAAGUUUCCCUCAGGAUAGCUUGCGCUCAUGUGAAAGAGUCUCAUCCGGUAGAGCGAAUGAUUAGAGGCCUUGGGGUCGAAACGACCUCAACCUAUUCUCAAACUCCAAAUAGAUGAGAACUCCGGCUUUCUUGAACUUUGUUUUUGAAGCCGGGGGCUCGGAUCAGAGUGCCAAGUGGGCCAAUUUUGGUAAGCAGAAGUGGC